ACCAGGUCUUGACAUCCUCUGACAAUCCUACAUAUAGGACGUCCCCUUCGGGGGCAGAGUGACAGGUGGUGCAUGGUUGUCGUCAGCUCGUGUCGUGAGAUGUUGGGUUAAGUCCCGCAACGAGCGCAACCCUUGAUCUUAGUUGCCAGCAUUCAGUUGGGCACUCUAAGGUGACUGCCGGUGACAAACCGGAGGAAGGUGGGGAUGACGUCAAAUCAUCAUGCCCCUUAUGACCUGGGCUACACACGUGCUACAAUGGACAGAACAAAGGGCAGCGAAACCGCGAGGUUAAGCCAAUCCCACAAAUCUGUUCUCAGUUCGGAUCGCAGUCUGCAACUCGACUGCGUGAAGCUGGAAUCGCUAGUAAUCGCGGAUCAGCA
rnacentral:rRNA from 1 species